rnacentral:rRNA from 1 species
CUAAGUUUGAUGGCGACCGGCGCACGGGUGAGUAACACGUAUCCAACCUGCCGAUGACUCGGGGAUAGCCUUUCGAAAGAAAGAUUAAUACCCGAUGGCAUAGUUCUUCCGCAUGGUGGAACUAUUAAAGAAUUUCGGUCAUCGAUGGGGAUGCGUUCCAUUAGGUUGUUGGCGGGGUAACGGCCCACCAAGCCUUCGAUGGAUGGGGGUUCUGAGAGGAAGGUCCCCCACAUUGGAACUGAGACACGGUCCAAACUCCUACGGGAGGCAGCAUG